UAUUUUGCAUCUCCUAAAAUAUAAAACGUACCUGUAUAAAUGUUUUGUAGUUGUGUGGCAGUAGGAGUGUGUACAAAUGUGAAUCUGUUUUGCCAUGCUGUGCGAACCUCUUCCUGCUCGGAGCAGCAAGCACACAAGUGUGGAUCGCUUUUACAAGUCUACGAAUUUUGGCCCUCUUUUGACGGGGGGUGGGGUCAUAGGGUGAGAGCCAAUCAAAACAUCGCUUACUGCCAACCAAUCAGGCUUCGCCAGGACUGACUGAAAACAACGUGGAUCUAACCACAGCACAGGCAGGCAGCAGAAGGACGCAAUCUCUCUUUCUUGUGAAGACCGAUAUGGAGGAGUCACACACAAUCAGGUUCGGGUGGUUAAAAAUUUGCUCCUCCAUCCCCACCACCACCAGGUUGGUCCAGUCUACCUGUCUGCGGGGUUAAAGGUCCGCUUCCUGCUGCACAGCUACAUCAGGCUCUACUGGCGCAAGAAGACCCGGGCUGAUGAUUGGACCUACACCAAAGACUGUCUACCUUCUGUUAAAUGCAUAGUCAAUCAUCUUCUCAUUAAAUCGCAUUUAACUAA